rnacentral:rRNA from 1 species
CGAAGGGUGCAAGCGUUACUCGGAAUUACUGGGCGUAAAGCGUGCGUAGGUGGUUUGUUAAGUCUGAUGUGAAAGCCCUGGGCUCAACCUGGGAAUGGCAUUGGAUACUGGCGAGCUAGAGUGCGGUAGAGGGUAGUGGAAUUCCCGGUGUAGCAGUGAAAUGCGUAGAGAUCGGGAGGAACAUCUGUGGCGAAGGCGACUACCUGGACCAGCACUGACACUGAGGCACGAAAGCGUGGGAGCAAACAGGAUU